UAAAUACAUUGGGCCAUUCCAUUUAAUAUGUGCACCCCCCCUAUUGAGGGGUCCUUAAAAGUUUUACCCCCUUAGGAAAUUGAACAUCAAAGUGCCGACACAUUCCCCCCCUUGGAAAUUGGCCUAUGUUGUUCGAAGAUCAAAGGGACCGACUGAUUUACCCCCUCGGAAAUUACCAAUAUUAACCCCUCCCUCCCCAUAGGAUUUCCAGACCCCUCAAUAGGGGGGGGGGUGCACAUAUUAAAUGGA